GGCCUGGUAGCAUAGUGGUUAAAGCGCUUGGCUGCUAACCAAAAGGUCAUCAGUUCAAGCCU
rnacentral:tRNA from 1 species